CCGGAGCUUUGAUGGGUUGUAGCUGGCCUUCCGAGGCAUGUGCACGCCCUGCUCAUUCCACUCUACACCUGUGCACUUACUGUGGGUCUCAGGCGAGCGUCGGUCGCUUCGCGGCGUCGUCGUUCAACUGGGCUCACGUUUUACUACAAACUAUUAAAGUAUCAGAAUGUCUACUGCGAAUUAACGCAUUUAAAUACAACUUUCAGCAACGGAUCUCUUGGCUCUCGCAUCGAUGAAGAACGCAGCGAAAUGCGAUAAGUAAUGUGAAUUGCAGAAUUCAGUGAAUCAUCGAAUCUUUGAACGCACCUUGCGCUCCUUGGUAUUCCGAGGAGCAUGCCUGUUUGAGUGUCAUGAAAUUCUCAACCUAACGAGUCUUUGCGGGCUCGGUAGGCUUGGACUUGGAGGUUCUUGUCGGCCUAACGGUCGGCUCCUCUUAAAUGCAUUAGCUCGGUUCCUUGCGGAUCGGCUCACGGUGUGAUAAUUGUCUACGCCGCGACCGUUGAAGCGUUUUGGCCGGCUUCUAAUCGUCUCGUUGGAGACACUACUCUUUAUGACCUUCUGACCUCAAAUCAGGUAGGACUACCCGCUGAACUUAAGCAUAUCAAAGGC
rnacentral:rRNA from 1 species